GUAAUCCAUGUGUUUAGUGAAGCACAUGAUCCCGUCGAGAAAGACUAAGUUGAUAUUGCAAGCUCCAAGUCUUCUCUUUCUAGUCUGAGGAUGUGGCCACCAUGUUGAGUUGGGAAUCAGGCGCCAUUGAAUUCGAUCGUGUUGGCAAGGCUUUAGUGCUUAGGCCUUGCAGGCCCAAGCCACGUUUUUAGUCGCCGCAGUGCAUGGCAUCGAGGCCAUUUGCAGAGAAGGAUUUCUAUCUACUUAUAAGUAAAGUAUAGAGGACACACCAUUCGUGCCACAACUUGGUGUUGUCAACAAACACCACAGUGUAUGCGAUUACGGUUCGCCGGCAAUACAGUAGGUCCGCCAGGAUCAUGUUUGUUUACCUGGGUUGUCGCGUAUGGUAAUGCAAAAUGGCCGCCGUGAGUUCUUUGAUUUCACGAUAUUAUCGCUGUCUUUUAGAAAUGUCCGUAGCAUACGUAUACGGUAGUCAUUCGAGAUGUCCUCUCAAACGUUUUCUCUAUAACAGUAGAAGGUACAAGUACCCUACAGUAGGCUGCUAUUUCAUAACUUGACCCUGAAACGAAUUAUUCAAGCCACGUGAGGGAGGCUAAAUUAUCUUCAAUUAUAUAGCCGAGGCAGCCAUGCUGGGCGCUGGAGCUGCACUAUGGUCUAGGAUUCCUCGUACAUAAAGCAUCCUCCAUUCAUAUGUGCACAGUCUUAAUAAAACACUGUUUUCCAACACCAUUUUAGGAUUUUCGGACGUUCAGCCAAGGUUGUGCAACAUAAGAUGUCUGAAAAUGGUGAUGCAAAAUUAUGUUUUAUUAAAGAUGUACUCCGGUACUUUGGCAACUAAAGGUAUUUUUUUAAACCUCCCGCUUUGGGCUGGAUGUGUCAAUGUAGUUCAUACAUGCAUAAUCUAUUAACCAAAUUACUGUUUUACCUCAGUAAGCAAUGAAAUCCAUAGUUUGAAAGCGACUGUUUUCUUGAAGCUGUACCAAGCCAUUUUCCCUACAUUUCCCGCAUUUGAGUGACUGCUAGUAAGAGGCCUACCCAGUGUUAUCCAAUGAGGUUGCAGGGCGGACACAGCUGAGAGAGGGAGGGAGCGCUCAAUGACGUGGUGCACAAAUCCGCGUAUAUGUGAUGUAUGCAAUUUUUGGGGACCACUUUUGUCUCGUG
rnacentral:lncRNA from 1 species